rnacentral:rRNA from 1 species
AACCGCGGUUAUACGAAAGGCCCAAGUUGAUAAGUUACGGCGUAAAGCGUGGUUAGGAUAAACUAAAAACUAAAGCUGAAUAACCUCCCAGCCGUUUAAAGCAUGCGAGAAUACGAAACACAACUACGAAAGUGGCUUUACCCUUCUGACCCCACGAAAGCUAGGGCC